AUGGCGAGUGAUGUUAUGGUUUUGACUUUUUUAAAGUGAAGAUAUAUAUUGUAGUUAAACGAUAACUUAAAGCAAAAAUCAUACUCCAAAUUUACACCUAUUAAAACUUGGAUCUAAGAUAUGACAUUAAAAUGAGAUCUAAUGUGACAUGGAUUCGGCUAAUUUGUGCAGUAAGAGAAAAGGGAGGGAGAAAAUUAUUAUAUUGGGAGUGAUAAAAUAGUAGGUGAGAGAUUAAUGGUAAAACAGUGGAUGUAAGCACCAAACAACUCAUCAAAAUACAACGUGUAUUAUCCAAAUACCACCAUUCAAAAUCAUAUCUCACAUCUCCAAAUACCACCAUUCAAAAGCAUUGGAGGAAAUCACCACCGACACCACAACACCACCAUUGAACCACCGCCACCACAGCACAACAACCGAACCUGCACAGCCACCGCGGUUCCAUCAUUUGCUCCAAAUGAAACGUUUCCUUUUAGUAGGAAUGCUACAUCUGUGAUCUGCCUGAACCGUUUUGUUGGGAGAUUAUGCAAUUAAUAAAACCAUCGGCCGUCUCUUCUUGUUGAACCGGUGACGGUGGAGUAAAUUGAAAAUCUGUGCAGAAUCCGGCCGGUGCCGACUACGUUGGGGUUUUGUGGCAGAUUACUUUGCGGCGGAAUAGUAUUAUUAAUUGGAAAUUGAGUGACUGGAUUUAUGAAUGCAACUCCCCUCACACCAUGAGUCUGCCAAGGUUUCAGAUGGGUGAUACAUGACCGGCGGUUAUUCUGGUUGUGUGAGGGUUAUAUAGGUGUAGAAACGGUUCUGACGGCGGUGAAACGAUGGUGGGGGGAGACACGUCGGUGGAUGAAUGUUUGUGUCGGUUCCAUAACGGUGUGUCUACCACCGGUGGAGUAUAAAAAAUAUUAACUUUCAACUAUACUUGGACUUGAGGGAAAGAUGAUAUCAUUUAAUGAAUAGUGGGAUAAGUCCAAGCAUUUGGAACGGUGGCUUUGCAUGGUUAUGUGACGGUUUAUUUAUCUUUGGUGCAACAGUGGGUUUAAUGCAAGUUUUGAAACAGUGGCGUUGCAUUUGAAACGGUGCGAUAGUUAUUUGGUUGGUAAAUGUAUAAGAGUAUAAUUUCUGAGGUUGUGGUCGAUAACAUGGAGGUUCGAGCGGCAUUUCAAAGUCAUUUCACAGGGUUAGGCUGGUUCUAAGGAAGUCCUCAUUUUAACCCCUAUGGAAUUAUUAAGGCCAUCUCAUGGAGACGUUGUUUUAAUUUUUUUUUUUUUUGUUAGUUGCUUUACGAUAUGGUGUAAUAUUUUUGACAAACACUAGAUGAUAUGUAGUGUAUUUUUUGUUUUUUUUUUUUUUGUAUAAAACAUGUUUAAAAGCAAGAUUAUGUUGGGCUCUUUUAUGAGAAAAAAAUUGGUUAUUUGU
rnacentral:lncRNA from 1 species